ensembl:snoRNA
GUCCUUUCCUACUUCAUGAGCAUGAUGAUUGGGUGUUCACAUGCUUGUGUGACAUGUGCCUCCCUGAAACCUUGUUGUGACAUCGGCACAUUACUGUCUGACG